UAGAAAUGGUCUUGUCAUAUGCAGAGAUGAGAGCUUCUCUCACAGAUUUCUUCUCCUGUUCAGUGUUGUCACCUUGCUCGAUUGCAUGCUUGGAAUUAGGUCCAAUUCCUGAAAAUUUAAACAUAAAAAGAUGUUUGAUACAGUAUAAGUAUUUCAUAUUGAAUUGCAUGCUUGGAAUCAGGUCCAAUUCCUGAAAAUUUAAACAUAGGUUUCAUAAAAAGAUGUUUGAUACCAUAUACGUGAUUUUUAAAUGUCUCAAUCUUUUCCCUCUGUAUACAGUAUAAGUAUUUGGUCAAAAGAGGAAAUUAAGGAGAGGUUUCAGAUUGAGAUUUAU
rnacentral:lncRNA from 1 species